UUCAGAGUCUGUGGACAAGUAAGUGUGAGAGAGCCAGGAAGCUUGAGGAGCUUGUGUUCCUGUUGUGCAUCUAUUUAUGUUGUUUCAGCAUCACGUGGGACACAGGCUGUCUUCACUGGGGCCAGUUGAGGGGCGUGGCUUGAGUUUCCCUCCUCGCCCCAAACAGAACACUGGCAGCUGAAAACCUCCAACACCGAGCUACAGUCAUGCUCAAGGUCACUCUCCACAUGCUCGGACAAGCCUCACACAUGAAGGAACCAGCAGAGGAACCCAGGGGAAGCAAUGAUUUUCCUCCAAUGGAUCACACUUUUUUCUCUCAGGACUUGAGUGACUGGUAACUUACAGUGAUAUGUAAGCUCAAUACAUAUGUAUCUCUAUCUUUUGCUAAUAAA